rnacentral:tRNA from 1 species
GGUUUGUGGUUCAGUGGUAGAGUACUUGCCCUAGCAUGUGCAAGGCCCUGGGUUCGAUUCUCAGCACCA